rnacentral:rRNA from 1 species
GACGAACGCUGGCGGCGUGCUUAACACAUGCAAGUCGAACGGAAAGGCCCUGCUUUUGUGGGGUGCUCGAGUGGCGAACGGGUGAGUAACACGUGAGUAACCUGCCCUUGACUUUGGGAUAACGUCAGGAAACUGGGGCUAAUACCGGAUAGGAGCUCCUGCUGCAUGGUGGGGGUUGGAAAGUUUCGGCGGUUGGGGAUGGACUCGCGGCUUAUCAGCUUGUUGGUGGGGUAGUGGCUUACCAAGGCUUUGACGGGUAGCCGGCCUGAGAGGGUGACCGGCCACAGUGGGACUGAGAUACGGCCCAGACUGCUACGGGAGGCAGCAGUGGGGAAUAUUGCACAAUGGGCGGAAGCCUGAUGCAGCAACGCCGCGUGCGGGAUGACGGCCUUCGGGUUGUAAACCGCUUUCGCCUGUGACGAAGCGUGAGUGACGGUAAUGGGUAAAGAAGCACCGGCUAACUACGUG